rnacentral:rRNA from 1 species
GAUGAACGCUGGCGGCGUGCCUAAUACAUGCAGGUCGAGCGAACGGACGAGAAGCUUGCUUCCCUGAUGUUAGCGGCGGACGGGUGAGUAACACGUGGAUAACCUACCUAUAAGACUGGGAUAACUUCGGGAAACCGGAGCUAAUACCGGAUAAUAUUUUGAACCGCAUGGUUCAAAAGUGAAAGACGGUCUUGCUGUCACUUAUAGAUGGAUCCGCGCUGCAUUAGCUAGUUGGUAAGGUAACGGCUUACCAAGGCAACGAUGCAUAGCCGACCUGAGAGGGUGAUCGGCCACACUGGAACUGAGACACGGUCCAGACUCCUACGGGAGGCAGCAGUAGGGAAUCUUCCGCAAUGGGCGAAAGCCUGACGGAGCAACGCCGCGUGAGUGAUGAAGGUCUUCGGAUCGUAAAACUCUGUUAUUAGGGAAGAACAUAUGUGUAAGUAACUGUGCACAUCUUGACGGUACCUAAUCAGAAAGCCACGGCUAACUACGUG